CAGUGAGACUACGAGCUCGAGUUGUGAUAAACACAGCAAGUGGAAAGUCACUUUAUUAAACCAUAAAUGUUCACCACAAAUCACAGCUAAAUUAGCCCUUGGCAGAAGCUGAGCAGAAGCCUGGCCUGGCUUUUUAACUCCACAAGGAAGCAAAAAGGAACACAUGACUCAAUCACCUGGAAGGGAGGUUCUGCUUCCUGCUUCGUGGGACUGUUCACAGCUGAACAGAUGUCAGGGCUUAGCCUGUAUUUCCAGUCCCCAUACUGUGCCCAUGGCAGGCAUCACCAAUCAACUGCUGUGCUCUCCUGCUGAGCCCCUGCUAAGAGUUCUUCUGAUCGCAUCCUCCUAGAUGGCUG
rnacentral:lncRNA from 1 species